rnacentral:misc_RNA from 1 species
AUACAAUAUCUUUUAUUUGAUUACGUUGAAUAAGUAUUUCAGAAGGUCCAGAUGGCAAAAACCCUUUAUUUUUUACCAUGUAUGCAGCAAGAACCUUUGGAUCUCCGCCUAGAGGAUAAAAUUCCAACCCAGCACCCAAAACAAACUCUUUAAAAUUGGCAUGAGUUGCUAGUCUCACCCUAUGACCAUUUUCCUGAAGCUUUUUCCCAAUGGCAACAAAAGGUUGCACAUCUCCCCUCGUCCCAACAAUGAGCAUAACAAUUUGCAAUGGAGGUAGUACUGGAAUAUCAGCUACGUCAUUUGCUGCUUCAUCUGAAGCUCCAUUGUAAACAACUCCGGUCCCAAAAUCAAGUUUUCCAGGUUUAAUAUCCCCCGGAACUUCAAAUUGCACAGUACCAUCAUCUGAAUAGUUGCAAGCCUAUUGAACAAUUUGAGCUUUUUUCUUAAAGGAACUCUAUCAUCAAAAAGCUUUGCUGCUAGCACACCUAGACCUUUGUUCUUGUUUUGUAUGUGUCUUCCAGCUUUGACUGGCUGACUGGUACCAGGUUCCGAU